rnacentral:rRNA from 1 species
CAAAGCGGGGGAUAACAUUUGGAAACAGAUGCUAAUACCGCAUAACAAUUUGAAUCGCAUGAUUCAAAUUUAAAAGAUGGCUUCGGCUAUCACUUUGGGAUGGACCUGCGGCGCAUUAGCUUGUUGGUAGGGUAACGGCCUACCAAGGCUGUGAUGCGUAGCCGAGUUGAGAGACUGAUCGGCCACAAUGGAACUGAGACACGGUCCAUACUCCUACGGGAGGCAGCAGUAGGGAAUCUUCCACAAUGGGCGCAAGCCUGAUGGAGCAACACCGCGUGAGUGAAGAAGGGUUUCGGCUCGUAAAGCUCUGUUGUUAGAGAAGAACGUGCGUGAGAGUAACUGUUCACGCAGUGACGGUAUCUAACCAGAAAGUCACGGCUAACUACGUGCCAGCAGCCGCGGUAAUACGUAGAUGGCAAGCGUUAUCCGGAUUUAUUGGGCGUAAAGCGAGCGCAGGCGGUUUGAUAAGUCUGAUGUGAAAGCCUUUGGCUUAACCAAAGAAGUGCAUCGGAAACUGUCAGACUUGAGUGCAGAAGAGGACAGUGGAACUCCAUGUGUAGCGGUGGAAUGCGUAGAUAUAUGGAAGAACACCAGUGGCGAAGGCGGCUGUCUGGUCUGCAACUGACGCUGAGGCUCGAAAGCAUGGGUAGCGAACAGGAUUAGAUACCCUGGUAGUCCAUGCCGUAAACGAUGAGUGCUAGGUGUUGGAGGGUUUCCGCCCUUCAGUGCCGCAGCUAACGCAUUAAGCACUCCGCCUGGGGAGUACGACCGCAAGGUUGAAACUCAAAGGAAUUGACGGGGGCCCGCACAAGCGGUGGAGCAUGUGGUUUAAUUCGAAGCUACGCGAAGAACCUUACCAGGUCUUGACAUCUUGCGCCAACCCUAGAGAUAGGGCGUUUCCUUCGGGAACGCAAUGACAGGUGGUGCAUGGUCGUCGUCAGCUCGUGUCGUGAGAUGUUGGGUUAAGUCCCGCAACGAGCGCAACCCUUGUUACUAGUUGCCAGCAUUCAGUUGGGCACUCUAGUGAGACUGCCGGUGACAAACCGGAGGAAGGUGGGGACGACGUCAGAUCAUCAUGCCCCUUAUGACCUGGGCUACACACGUGCUACAAUGGACGGUACAACGAGUCGCGAACUCGCGAGGGCAAGCUAAUCUCUUAAAACCGUUCUCAGUUCGGACUGCAGGCUGCAACU